rnacentral:rRNA from 1 species
AAUGAACGCUGGCGGCAGGCUUAGCACAUGCAAGUCGAACGCCCCGCAAGGGGAGUGGCGCACGGGUGAGUAACGCGUGGGAAUAUGCCCUUCGGUUCGGAAUAACACAGGGAAACUUGUGCUAAUACCGGAUACGAUCUACGGAUGAAAGAUUCAUCGCCGAAGGAGUAGCCCGCGUAGGAUUAGCUAGUUGGUGAGGUAAUGGCUCACCAAGGCGACGAUCCUUAGCUGGUCUGAGAGGAUGAUCAGCCACAAUGGGACUGAGACACGGCCCAGACUCCUACGGGAGGCAGCAGUGGGGAAUAUUGGACAAUGGGCGAAAGCCUGAUCCAGCCAUGCCGCGUGAGUGAUGAAGGCCUUAGGGUUGUAAAGCUCUUUCGCCGGGGAAGAUAAUGACGGUACCCGGAAAAGAAGCCUCGGCUAACUCCGUGCCAGCAGCCGCCGUAAAAC